UACGUAGGGGGCAAGCGUUAUCCGGAUUUACUGGGUGUAAAGGGCGUGUAGCCGGGCUUACAAGUCAGAUGUGAAAUCCGGGGGCUCAACCCCCGAACUGCAUUUGAAACUGUAGGUCUUGAGUAUCGGAGAGGCAGGCGGAAUUCCUAGUGUAGCGGUGAAAUGCGUAGAUAUUAGGAGGAACACCAGUGGCGAAGGCGGCCUGCUGGACGACAACUGACGGUGAGGCGCGAAAGCGUGGGGAGCAAACAGG
rnacentral:rRNA from 1 species